AAAAAAAAAAAAAAAAAAAAGAAAAUAACAAAAUACCUGAAUAAAGCAAACUCUCUGCUGAGCUGCAGGUCAGCACAUUCUCCGGAAAAUCCGAAUCUAUGGCACAUAAUGUCCAACUGUUACCAUGGAAAAGAAAAUACAUGUAAAGGCUUGAAGGAAUGAAGUGUUUCUCUUCUUUGAACUUGUACAGACCAAAUUAACAAAAGAAAAUAAAAUAUAGAUAUUUAUAUAAGUGGACUUCAUGAGGAAGAACAAGAACCAAAAAAAGUCUGCAAAGCAUGGUUUAAAUGAAGUGUUGUUGCGAUUGAAACCUCCGGGUAAGAACACCCUCCCCAGCCACACACCGACAACCGUACUGACACGACGUACACACACACACACACACACACACACACUGAUGACGACGAUGAUCGGACAUGUCCUCUUAGCGGUUUCGGAAAAAAACGAAAAACUAGUUGUUUGGUGUAUAAUUAAGAAGUCCAGCUAAAACUAGAUUUAAACCUGAAUAUCGUAAAUGGGUAAAAUAUAAAAUGUUUACUUUCCGUUUUUAUCUCUUAAACACAAGAGAAAACUCAGAGGACCUGCCAAGGUCUCGAAUUGUGCCGCCCCCCGCCCCCCACCCCUUGCCGAGUCAAAUAACAGAAUUAGAACACAUCCACUAUAAUCGAACAAGAACAAUGAUAAAUCAGAACGGUUUGAUUUUUUUUCUUUUUUGUAGCUUUUUUUUCCUUUCGACAUUUUUGUCAUUAUAUCUAGCACAGCAUACAGGGUUCUCUCUGCGCAGGUGUAAUAAAAUGAUCUGUGAAAAGAAAAGUGGAGUCAUGCAGAAACCAGCUGAGAGCUCCGUCGUGUUCGCAUGGCGCUCUCGAACGAGUGUACCGGUUGCGCAGAGUUGCGUGUUUUCCUUCUAUAUGUAUAAUACACUUGAAAUAGUUCUCGUAUUCUUUAAAUUAUAUUCAAACUAAAAGGAUGCUCAGAAACCGUCGACGCUCCGAAAACCAUGAGCAAUGAAAGUAUAUCUUCAUGAUUCUGUCCUCAAUUAACACUUGUCAGAAUAAUGCAUAUAUUAGGGUUUAUCUUCUACAAGGCUAGCUAAACUUUUAAUGACGAGUGGGGAGAACAAGAAAAUAUAUUGAUAUAUUUAGAAAGACAUGUUAAGAGUGAAGCGUUUCGGGUCUCGGCUAUCAGCGCAAAAGGAUACAGGUGUUUGGCAUAGACGUCAGAGGGUAAGGUGUUGGUAAGAGAGUUAAAAAUAUCUUAAAAAAAGAAAAACAACAACGAAAAGAGAGAAAGAAACAAAAACACAACCAACCAAUCAACCAAAACAGUAAUUAAGAAAAUACCUUUUUACAGUAGAUCCUACAUAAUGAAAAAUCUGCACAUGAUAACAGUGUGAAACACACCAUGUUUAGUCAUUUGUCACAGCCCCUGGUGAAUAUUGUGUUGUCGUGGUUACGAGUCAGAGGUGUAAGGCGAGCUGGACUUCCUCUCCCGAGGAAGAUCAUCUUAAGUGCCCCCGAUCCCUUCCUGCCAUUUGCCUCGCGAAAAAGAGGGGGAAAGGAUAGAGCCAAAACGAAACGAUGGGAGGGAAACCAAAUCAAACAGGAAACAAAGACGUUUUCUAAUCCCCCCCCACAGACAUCUGGCGGUCGACGGAUGCCGUAGUACAGAGAAUCAGUACAUUUCAUUGUUGUCGUUCAGAUAUUCCUCCGGCGAUCACAUUGUCCAUUGCUCCCAUAUUCUUUUAAAUAAGAGUCACACGAGUCCUCUCUUUCCCGCCAUGGUCACAAUGGCAAAUCCAGGAGGAAUGGCGGAGAGGCGGUGCCGUCCCAGUGUGAGGGUCCCUCUUUCUGCUGAGGCAAAAGGAGAGCUACAGCCUCCCUCUCAGGGCCUCAGCUUAUGCAUCGCUAGUUCAGCCUCUUCAGUGUUACUUGUGGUCAGAUGGGGUCUUUUUCCCUUACUGCU
ensembl:lncRNA